GAAGAUAAUGACGGUAACCGGAGAAGAAGCCCCGGCUAACUUCGUGCCAGCAGCCGCGGUAAUACGAAGGGGGCUAGCGUUGUUCGGAAUUACUGGGCGUAAAGCGCACGUAGGCGGAUAUUUAAGUCAGGGGUGAAAUCCCAGAGCUCAACUCUGGAACUGCCUUUGAUACUGGGUAUCUUGAGUAUGGAAGAGGUGAGCGGAAUUCCGAGUGUAGAGGUGAAAUUCGUAGAUAUUCGGAGGAGCACCAGUGGCGAAGGCGGCUCACUGGUCCAUUACUGACGCUGAGGUGCGAAAGCGAGGGGAGCAAACAGGAUUAGAUACCCUGGUAGUCCACGCCGUAAACGAUGAAUGUUAGCCGUCGGGCAGUAUACUGUUCGGUGGCGCAGCUAACGCAUUAAACAUUCCGCCUGGGGAGUACGGUCGCAAGAUUAAAACUCAAAGGAAUUGACGGA
rnacentral:rRNA from 1 species